UACGGGGGGGGCAAGCGUUGUUCGGAAUUACUGGGCGUAAAGGGCGCGUAGGCGGCCUGCUAAGUCAUACGUGAAAUCCCUCGGCUCAACCGAGGAACUGCGUCUGAUACUGGUUGGCUUGAAUUCGGGAGAGGGAUGCGGAAUUCCAGGUGUAGCGGUGAAAUGCGUAGAUAUCUGGAGGAACACCGGUGGCGAAGGCGGCAUCCUGGACCGAGAUUGACGCUGAUGCGCGAAAGCCAGGGGAGCAAACGGG
rnacentral:rRNA from 1 species